UGAGAGAGACACUCAAGGUUGCCUUCUGGU
rnacentral:piRNA from 1 species